UACGUAGGGGGCUAGCGUUGUUCGGAUUUACUGGGCGUAAAGGGCGCGUAGGCGGCCACCGCAAGUCGACUGUGAAAUCUCCGGGCUUAACCCGGAGCGGUCAAGUGAUACUGUCGUGCUAGAGUGCGGAAGGGGCUACUGGAAUUCUCGGUGUAGCGGUGAAAUGCGUAGAUAUCGAGAGGAACACCUGCGGCGAAGGCGGGUAGCUGGGCCGACACUGACGCUGAUGCGCGAAAGCCAGGGGAGCGAACGGG
rnacentral:rRNA from 1 species